CUUUACUGUAGCCUGGUAUUGGGUUUGGGCUUUGACAGCGCAGGCUAGGUGGGAGACUGAGAAGUGUGCCUUGUGGGGCACAUAGAGUCAACGGUGAGAUACCACUCUGUCAGAGCUAGAAUUCUAACCUUCACCCGUGAUCCGGGGAAGGAACCGUAUCAGGUGGGCAGUUUGACUGGGGCGGUCGCCUCCUAAAAGGUAACGGAGGCGCGCAAAGGUGUUCUCAGGCUGGUUGGAAAUCAGCCGUAGAGUGUAAAGGCAGAAGAACGCUUGACUGUGAGAGUGACAACUCAAGCAGGGUGGAAACACGGCCUUAGUGAUCCGACGGUAUGCGCGUGGAAGUGCCGUCGCUCAACGGAUAAAAGUUA
rnacentral:rRNA from 1 species